rnacentral:rRNA from 1 species
UGCAGUCGAGCGGUAACAUUUCAAAGCUUGCUUUGAAGAUGACGAGCGGCGGACGGGUGAGUAAUGCUUGGGAAUAUGCCUUAUGGUGGGGGACAACAGUUGGAAACGACUGCUAAUACCGCAUAAUGUCUACGGACCAAAGGGGGGGAUCUUCGGACCUCUCGCCAUUUGAUUAGCCCAAGUGAGAUUAGCUAGUUGGUGAGGUAAUGGCUCACCAAGGCGACGAUCUCUAGCUGGUUUGAGAGGAUGAUCAGCCACACUGGGACUGAGACACGGCCCAGACUCCUACGGGAGGCAGCAGUGGGGAAUAUUGCACAAUGGGCGCAAGCCUGAUGCAGCCAUGCCGCGUGUGUGAAGAAGGCCUUCGGGUUGUAAAGCACUUUCAGUAAGGAGGAAAGGGAUGUAGUUAAUAGCUGCAUUCUGUGACGUUACUUACAGAAGAAGCACCGGCUAACUUCGUGCCAGCAGCCGCGGUAAUACGAGGGGUGCAAGCGUUAAUCGGAAUUACUGGGCGUAAAGCGUUCGUAGGCGGUUGAUUAAGCAAGAUGUGAAAGCCCAGGGCUCAACCUUGGAACUGCAUUUUGAACUGGUCAACUAGAGUACUGUAGAGGGUGGUGGAAUUUCCAG